UACGAAGGGGGCUAGCGUUGCUCGGAAUCACUGGGCGUAAAGCGCACGUAGGCGGCUUCUUAAGUCAGGGGUGAAAUCCUGGAGCUCAACUCCAGAACUGCCUUUGAUACUGGGAGCUCGAGUCCGGAAGAGGUGAGUGGAACUGCGAGUGUAGAGGUGAAAUUCGUAGAUAUUCGCAAGAACACCAGUGGCGAAGGCGGCUCACUGGUCCGGUACUGACGCUGAGGUGCGAAAGCGUGGGGAGCAAACAGG
rnacentral:rRNA from 1 species